UGGGGAAUAUUGGGCAAUGGACGCAAGUCUGACCCAGCAACGCCGCGUGAAGGAAGAAGGCUUUCGGGUUGUAAACUUCUUUGACAGGGGAAGAGCAGAAGACGGUACCCUGAAAACAAGCCACGGCUAACUACGUGCCAGCAGCCGCGGUAAUACGUAGGUGGCGAGCGUUGUCCGGAUUUACUGGGUGUAAAGGGCGUGUAGCCGGGUCGGCAAGUCAGAUGUGAAAUCUGGAGGCUCAACCUCCAAACUGCAUUUGAAACUGUUGAUCUUGAGUAUCGGAGAGGUAACCGGAAUUCCUUGUGUAGCGGUGAAAUGCGUAGAUAUAAGGAAGAACACCAGUGGCGAAGGCGGGUUACUGGACG
rnacentral:rRNA from 1 species